UGUUGCUCAGUGAUAGAGCACUUGUCUAACAUGCAGGAGGCCCUGGGUUUGAUUCACAGCA
rnacentral:tRNA from 1 species